CCAGCCUAUUCAUCUUUAAAUGUUAAAAAAACAAAACAGUCACCAACGGAAGAAAUAGACUCUGAAAAGACACGAACUUUGCCCAAAGUCAGAGCUGGGAUUCAGACUCAGACCCUAUCAGACUUCAAAACGUGCACUAUGCACUGCAGUGUGCCUCAGACAGGUAUGUAAUCAACUAGAACACUGUUAAAGAGUCCAAAGUAAGUUUAAGUUUCAAGAAAAAGGUAGUUAACUACCUUUCUGGAUAUGAAGUAGUUGCCCUCUGCUGAACAAGAAUGAGAAUAGGGACUAAGGGCUAUGGUUCUGGCAGUUAGGUGGUGUGGGUAACCUUCCAGAUUGCAAAAGUUGCUAUAGUAGAUGGUGUUGGGGCACUAGACAGAGCAAAUGCCGACUAUUUUCAUAUGGUUGGCAAAAACAGAAAGGAGAGGGGGUUUAUAAUCCAAUAUGAUAUGAAAAAUUGUCAGAAGAUUCUCAGGAUAGUGGAAGUUUGAGCAUUUUGGUAGCAGAGGGGAGGGAGACAUUAGACAGGCAAGGCUGGAAGAACUAGAGGGUAACUGGUGAAAUGUCGCCCAUGAAGAGACUGGGAAUGACAUCAAAGGUGUAUUUGCCUCUUUUUCUUUCCUAACUCCUUUUACCCACUUUCCUUUCCUAUGUAUCUGCCACAUAUUUCUCUCUGCUUGCCUUAAAUGUCAGUGUUAUUUGGUAACAAUUUGGCCUCCUGCUCUUAAUUUCAAAAGUGAACGAACCAAAGCUUAUAUAUUUCAGCUCCCAAAAACCCGUAUUAUUAACUUUCAUUACUGUUACAUUCAUUACUGUAUUAUUAGUUUCAUUCUAGCUCUGAUUGAUUCUUACCCCUCUUUCUCUGCAGAUCAAUGAUUCCUCUAGGAGAAUUAAUUUAGGCAUUUCUGAGCUUGAGUUAUACAGCCCCUAUGUUUAAUUAUGGUGACUAAACUUUAUUUUCUCAUAUUCAUGAUUUUUACCUUCCCUUGCCUUCUCACCUUCCAUGACCCACAUACCAGUUUUAGGAACAUAAACGUAAUUUACCAAAAUAUACGUGUGUGUGUGUGUGUGUGUGUGUGUGUGUGUGCGUGCGUGCGCGCGCACAUGUAAAAUUCUACUGAGAAUAAGAGAAUUUCUAUUUAUCCAAUAUUGUGUUUGGACAAUAUAUAAACAGUGCUAAACCAGGAAAGAUGUCUAUAGUAAAUGAGGUGAAUCUGAAGUAGUUUUCUUACCAAAACAUAAUCUCCAUGCAGUCAAAGGCAUUGUCUGGAUUACUUUGGUCUUCCUAGUGCUAAGCACUUAGUCUAGCACUUAGUAAUCAUUCAAUUAAUGUUUGUUGAGUAUAUCAAAAUAAUGAAUGAAUGAGAAAAACUUGGACAAAUUAUUGUUGAUAUUAUGAACUUUGGCACAGAUUUGGUAACACUGGUAAAAUUGCAUUGCACAU